UACGAAGGGAGCAAGCGUUGUCCGGAAUCAUUGGGCGUAAAGCGCGCGUAGGCGGCCCUGUAAGUCCGUUGUGAAAGUCAAAGGCUCAACCUUUGAAAGCCGAUGGAUACUGCAGGGCUAGAGUCCGGAAGAGGCGAGUGGAAUUCCUGGUGUAGCGGUGGAAUGCGCAGAUAUCAGGAGGAACACCAAUAGCGAAGGCAGCUCGCUGGGACGGUACUGACGCUAAGGCGCGAAAGCGUGGGGAGCGAACAGG
rnacentral:rRNA from 1 species